UCUUAUUUUUUGGUUAUUUCUUAGAAAAAGUUUACAAAAUUAAUGUAAAUUUAUCUUUUUCUCUUUUAUUUUAACUUUAUCGCCACCAUUACCAUCGAUGCAGUCGCCAUAAUCUCAUGUCUAACACCACUCACACUCAACAUCACCUUCACCAUAACCGCUCUAUACUGCUGCCAUCGUCGCAACCUCUACUUACACAACCACCAGAAAAUGCAUCAGUACUUUCUUCUUCUUCUUCGUUUACCACCGAUUUAGAUCUACGUAAAUAUACCCUAAACUGAUGGAUUUGAUACCCUAAAUUCAUUCAGAUCUAAGAUAUAUACGAAAGAGAGAAAGAAAAACGAGGAAAAAGGUCGUUUUCUUUAUUCAUGUACGAUACAUUGCUCGGGUUCGUCUUUUACACAAUUUCAACCUUCUGUUUUGCAGUUUCAUAUGAUUUUUGUUAGUAAUCAAUUUCCUGAAUCAUUUUAUGUUUCUAGUUUAUAUCGGUUUUUGCAUCAUUUUGUGUUGCCUAGCAUUCUACAUUUACUGGUGUAUAUAUGAAAUGAUGUUGACUGGCUUUCCUCAUCUGGCAUUUCAUAUGAAGAUGAAGCAUAAUAAUUGUAAGGUUUUGGUGAUUAUUUGGAUAUGUGGUGUAAUUUUGUUGUGGGUCUCCAUGGUUAUGAAAUCGAGUCCUGAUUACAUAGUAUUUUGAUAGUGGGAAUACCUUAUUCAUAUUACAUUUUAUCUCAACAGAAUUGACAUGAAUCCUAGAUUUGAAGUACCUUUUGGUUCAAGAAUCAUACCAGUCUCUUGAAACGCUAUUGGAUUUAUAAAAACAUCACCCUUUUCAGGUAAAUCACCAAUGGAAGGUACAAGAGUGUGAUGCAUAAAGUGGUUUCUUGAACAUAUGAGAUCCAAUGCCAAUAGCUUCAUUUUUCAAUAUGAGCUCUUAUGAUGUGACCUACUUUCUAAUACUUACUCAUUCCACCUUUUUGAUUGGUUGUUCUAUGUUUUCCUCACUGACCCCCUUUUCUGCCUUUUGCUAGUGAAAACUGGCAUUAAUGGCUAGAAAUUGGCAACUGUUGACAUAUAUCUCAAAAGAUUGAUUCUACAUGAGUAGAAGUUCUAAUCAAGUUUAUAAAUUUAUUAUGAAUGUCUCAUAACAUAGUGUUCAUUUGAAAUGUAUUAUCAUAAUUCUCUAAUAUAAUAUAUCACUUUUUGGUAUAGAUUCUACCAACUUUUGAGGAACAAGAGGUACUACUCUAAAAACAAUAAAAUAUUAUAGAUGAGAGAGGCAAGUUAGACAUUGAUUCACCUCAAUCUUUAUUAUUGGUAUUCAUUCAUUGUUUGAUUCAUUUAGUCAUCCUAGAGGUUUGUUAUUAUGUUUUUUUAAUCAAUGUAUGUCCCUUUGCAAUCACUAUUAACUUAUAGGAUGCAAAUGUUUAUAAUUUCUGGUAGAUGUCAACUUGAUUUGUUUUACAUCUUAACAAUUGUAUUAGUUGAUACUAUCAAGUCUUGAAGUUAAUAUAUAUACACAUUAUUUUGUUUUA